rnacentral:rRNA from 1 species
CCUACGGGUGGCAGCAGUGGGGAAUAUUGGGCAAUGGAGGAAACUCUGACCCAGCAACGCCGCGUGAAGGAUGAAGGUUUUCGGAUUGUAAACCUCUGUCGCGAGGGACGAAGAAUGACGGUACUUCGUAAGAAAGCCCCGGCUAACUACGUGCCAGCAGCAGCGGUAAUACGUAGGGGGCGAGCGUUGUCCGGUAUGACUGGGCGUAAAGGGAGUGUAGGCGGCAAUAUAAGUUAGAUGUGAAAUUCCGAGGCUCAACCGAGGAACUGCAUCUAAACCUAUAUAGCUGGAGUGCAGGAGAGGUAAGUGGAAUUCGUGGUGUAGCGGUGAAAUGCGGAGAUAUCACGAAGAACUCCGAUUGCGAAGGCAGCUCACUGGACUGCAACUGACACUGAGGCUCGAAAGUGUGGGUAUCAAACAGGAUUAGAUACCCUUGUAGUC